CAAAUCCUGAGGUGUUCGUUAGAGAAACAUCAGUUUUGACCGAACAUCAAUUAUUAGGGAGUUCAAUAUUUUCUAAUAUGAGGAUAAGCCCUCCUGGGGACAUUUCUCGUUUAGUGUGAGGACACCCACCUGCUGAGAGCGGGUUUAAACGAUGCAAUCAUGGACGGCACCAUUGGGAUUUGU
rnacentral:other from 1 species